UUGAGUGUAAGUGCGUGUACAGGAUGAAAAGAAGGGAGUAUAGUUGUUAUAUCAACCUGUAAUCGCGAGGCUGCCACCGAGAGGCUCAUCGUCCCCACGUUCAGACACGGACGUCUCCUUCUCUUCUGGUCUGGAAAUACAAUCCUGGGAAUCAGAAGGACGAAGUAUACGGACGAAUAACACGAUUCGUCGAAGGAUGUCGAGAGUAAAUCCGCAACCGCAAUCAGUUGGCGCAAAACACGCACCUACGACCAGGACGAGGAGUCGAGGGUGGUUUCGUCCAUGGUGUCAUUCGGUGGCUGGGCUUGGGCAGUCUACUACUGGACUAUGAUGUGCGGUGCCGAAAGUAGCACGGCGACGGUCGCGAUAACGGUGAACAUCGUGAAUAUGAUGAGACAAAACCUGGGGAAGAAAGACCGAGGCGGUAAAGAAGCCUUCUUCAUCCGGUUCGUGAUGAACUGCAGCUCCCUCAGGAUCGUCUGGAGUUCUCUCCUCGUUCCGCUCAGGGGCAAAGAGGCCGACGUCUCCUCGACCGUCGCCGGUCUCCCCGAG
rnacentral:lncRNA from 1 species